UACGGGGGGGGCAAGCGUUGUUCGGAUUUACUGGGCGUAAAGGGCGCGUAGGCGGCGCUGUAAGUCACUUGUGAAAUCUCUGAGCUUAACUCAGAACGGCCAAGUGAUACUGCAGUGCUAGAGUGCAGAAGGGGCAAUCGGAAUUCUUGGUGUAGCGGUGAAAUGCGUAGAUAUCAAGAGGAACACCUGAGGUGAAGACGGGUUGCUAGGCUGACACUGACGCUGAGGCGCGAAAGCUAGGGGAGCAAACGGG
rnacentral:rRNA from 1 species